rnacentral:lncRNA from 1 species
UGAGCAUUUGUGUCAUCUCGUGCUGCUUUUGAAAUGUUUUGGUCUGCUCGAGUCCUCAUGCUGCUCCUGUGGCUCUGAUGAACCUCUGUGUGUCACCAAAGAUCCUCACAUCAGAAGGCAAGGGCAGGCCGAGCUAAACAGCUGGCUGGAUUUGCAUGAAAAUGGACUGCCCUUUUUCAUUUGUUUGUUCUUGGGAAAUUACAGUAGGUGAGUAUCUGA